CAGUAGCCGCGGUAAUACGUAGGUCCCGAGCGUUGUCCGGAUUUAUUGGGCGUAAAGCGCGCGCAGGCGGAUCAGUCAGUCUGUCUUAAAAGUUCGGGGCUUAACCCCGUGAGGGGAUGGAAACUGCUGAUCUAGAGUAUCGGAGAGGAAAGCGGAAUUCCCAGUGUAGCGGUGAAAUGCGUAGAUAUUGGGAGGAACACCGGCGGCGAAGGCGGCUUACUGGACGACAACUGACGUUGAGGCUCGAAGGCGUGGGUAGCAAACAGGAUUAGAUACCCCAGUAGUCCCUGUCUCUUAUACA
rnacentral:rRNA from 1 species